GUGUCAGCAGCCGCGGUAAGACAGAGGGUGCAAACGUUGUUCGGAAUUACUGGGCGUAAAGCGCGUGUAGGCGGCACGGCAAGUCGGAUGUGAAAUCCCGUGGCUCAACCAUGGAAGUGCACCCGAAACUGCCGAGCUGGAGUCCCGGAGAGGAAGGUGGAAUGCUUGGUGUAGAGGUGAAAUUCGUAGAUAUCAAGCGGAACACCGGUGGCGAAGGCGACCUUCUGGACGGUGACUGACGCUGAGACGCGAAAGCGUGGGGAGCAAACAGGAUUAGAAACCCCUGUAGUCC
rnacentral:rRNA from 1 species